GCGCCCGUAGCUCAGUCCGGAUAGAGUAGCUGACUACGAAUCAGAAGGUCGGAGGUUCGAAUCCUCCCGGGCGCGCCA
rnacentral:tRNA from 1 species